rnacentral:lncRNA from 1 species
UGAAUACAUACAUGAUCAUGCAACAACAGCGAGAGCACAAACAGUGCUGAACAUUACAAGAGCAAGCGUCACAAGUAGAAGACAUACAAGUGAAACAAAAGAGAGAUACUUAACUAUUCUAUUACAACCAUUCAACUCGAUACAUUUAAUUACAACUUGCAUUCUUUUCCAAACUAUGAAUAUAAGCUUACAUUCUUCAAAAGAUAAAUAUUAGUUUACAUUUAUCUCAAAAUACCUCACAUCCUAUACAUCAUCUACUCUCAAUACAUGUAUAGGGUAACUCUAAUGCAAAAUAGGAAAGUAAACUACCAACUAGCAUGUAAUACACUGAACUUUAGUGAAGUAUGAAGUUCGAGUGUGUGGAAGGAUAUGUAGACCUAUCCCACAUGCUUUAAUGGGCUUGGACAAGUUUUUGUAUAAGUUUAAGAGUAAUCGGACUGUCGGAGACGAGAAAGUGCAUUGCAAUUUCGAAAUCAGCAUUUUUCUGCAUUGUGUACCGGUACAG